rnacentral:piRNA from 1 species
UGACAGAGCCAGUGCAUUUAAGAAGUGGGC